rnacentral:rRNA from 1 species
GUCCUGCAACGAGCGCAACCCUUUUCCUUAUUUGCCAGCGGGUUAAGCCGGGAACUUUAAGGAUACUGCCAGUGACAAACUGGAGGACGGCGGGGACGACGUCAAGUCAUCAUGGCCCUUACGACCAGGGCUACACACGUGCUCCAAUGGUCGGUACAAAGGGUUGCUACCUGGCGAUAGGAUGCUAAUCUAAAAAAGCCGUUCGU